rnacentral:rRNA from 1 species
GACGAACGCUGGCGGCGUGCUUAACACAUGCAAGUCGAACGGAAAGGCCCUGCUUUUGUGGGGUGCUCGAGUGGCGAACGGGUGAGUAACACGUGAGUAACCUGCCCUUGACUUUGGGAUAACUUCAGGAAACUGGGGCUAAUACCGGAUAGGAGCUCCUGCUGCAUGGUGGGGGUUGGAAAGUUUCGGCGGUUGGGGAUGGACUCGCGGCUUAUCAGUGUGUUGGUGGGGUAGUGGCUUACCAAGGCUGUGACGGGUAGCCGGCCUGAGAGGGUGACCGGCCAAAUUGGGACUGAGAUACGGCCCAGGCGCCUACGGGAGGCAGGAGUGGGGAAUAUUGCACAAUGGGCGGAAGCCUGAUGCAGCAACGCCGCGUGCGGGAUGACGGCCUUCGGGUUGUAAACCGCUUUCGCCUGUGACGAAGCGUGAGUGACGGUAAUGGGUAAAGAAGCACCGGCUAACUACGU